rnacentral:rRNA from 1 species
UACGUAGGGUGCAAGCGUUAAUCGGAAUUACUGGGCGUAAAGCGUACGCAGGCGGCUAUGUAAGACAGGUGUGAAAUCCCCGGGCUUAACCUGGGAACUGCGCUUGUUACUGGCAGGCUUGAGUGUGGCAGAGGGGGGUGGAAUUCCACGUGUAGCAGUGAAAUGCGUAGAGAUGUGGAGGAACACCGAUGGCGAAGGCAGCCCCCUGGGCUAACACUGACGCUCAUGCACGAAAGCGUGGGGAGCAAACAGG